GGACGAACGCUGGCGGCGUGCCUAAUACAUGCAAGUCGAGCGGACAGAUGGGAGCUUGCUCCCUGAUGUUAGCGGCGGACGGGUGAGUAACACGUGGGUAACCUGCCUGUAAGACUGGGAUAACUCCGGGAAACCGGGGCUAAUACCGGAUGGUUGUYUGAACCGCAUGGUUCAGACAUAAAAGGUGGCUUCGGCUACCACUUACAGAUGGACCCGCGGCGCAUUAGCUAGUUGGUGAGGUAACGGCUCACCAAGGCGACGAUGCGUAGCCGACCUGAGAGGGUGAUCGGCCACACUGGGACUGAGACACGGCCCAGACUCCUACGGGAGGCAGCAGUAGGGAAUCUUCCGCAAUGGACGAAAGUCUGACGGAGCAACGCCGCGUGAGUGAUGAAGGUUUUCGGAUCGUAAAGCUCUGUUGUUAGGGAAGAACAAGUGCCGUUCAAAUAGGGCGGCACCUUGACGGUACCUAACCAGAAAGCCACGGCUAACUAC
rnacentral:rRNA from 1 species